AUACGGAGGAUCCGAGCGUUAUCCGGAUUUAUUGGGUUUAAAGGGUGCGUAGGCGGACUGGUAAGUCAGUGGUGAAAUCCUGCAGCUUAACUGUAGAAUUGCCGUUGAUACUGUUAGUCUUGAGUACAUUUGAGGUAGGCGGAAUGUGGUGUGUAGCGGUGAAAUGCAUAGAUAUACCACAGAACACCGAUUGCGAAGGCAGCUUACUAAACUGUAACUGACGCUGAGGCACGAAAGCGUGGGUAUCAAACAGGAUUAGAUACCCUGGUAGUCCACGCUGUAAACGAUGAUUACUGGUUGUUUGCGAUACAUUGCAAGUGACUGAGCGAAAGCAUUAAGUAAUCCACCUGGGGAGUACGUCGGCAACGAUGAA
rnacentral:rRNA from 1 species